rnacentral:rRNA from 1 species
UUAAGUUAUUAAGGGCGCACGGUGGAUGCCUUGGCACUAGAAGCCGAUGAAGGACGUUACUAACGACGAUAUGCUUUGGGGAGCUGUAAGUAAGCUUUGAUCCAGAGAUUUCCGAAUGGGGAAACCCAGCAUGAGUUAUGUCAUGUUAUCGAUAUGUGAAUACAUAGCAUAUCAGAAGGCACACCCGGAGAACUGAAACAUCUUAGUACCCGGAGGAAGAGAAAGAAAAUUCGAUUCCCUUAGUAGCGGCGAGCGAAACGGGAAGAGCCCAAACCAACAAGCUUGCUUGUUGGGGUUGUAGGACACUCUAUACGGAGUUACAAAGGACGACAUUAGACGAAUCAUCUGGAAAGAUGAAUCAAAGAAGGUAAUAAUCCUGUAGUCGAAAAUGUUGUCUCUCUUGAGUGGAUCCUGAGUACGACGGAGCACGUGAAAUUCCGUCGGAAUCUGGGAGGACCAUCUCCUAAGGCUAAAUACUCUCUAGUGACCGAUAGUGAACCAGUACCGUGAGGGAAAGGUGAAAAGCACCCCGGAAGGGGAGUGAAAUAGAACCUGAAACCGUGUGCUUACAAGUAGUCAGAGCCCGUUAAUGGGUGAUGGCGUGCCUUUUGUAGAAUGAACCGGCGAGUUACGAUUUGAUGCAAGGUUAAGCAGUAAAUGUGGAGCCGUAGCGAAAGCGAGUCUGAAUAGGGCGUUUAGUAUUUGGUCGUAGACCCGAAACCAGGUGAUCUACCCUUGGUCAGGUUGAAGUUCAGGUAACACUGAAUGGAGGACCGAACCGACUUACGUUGAAAAGUGAGCGGAUGAACUGAGGGUAGCGGAGAAAUUCCAAUCGAACCUGGAGAUAGCUGGUUCUCUCCGAAAUAGCUUUAGGGCUAGCCUCAAGUGAUGAUUAUUGGAGGUAGAGCACUGUUUGGACGAGGGGCCCCUCUCGGGUUACCGAAUUCAGACAAACUCCGAAUGCCAAUUAAUUUAACUUGGGAGUCAGAACAUGGGUGAUAAGGUCCGUGUUCGAAAGGGAAACAGCCCAGACCACCAGCUAAGGUCCCAAAAUAUAUGUUAAGUGGAAAAGGAUGUGGCGUUGCCCAGACAACUAGGAUGUUGGCUUAGAAGCAGCCAUCAUUUAAAGAGUGCGUAAUAGCUCACUAGUCGAGUGACACUGCGCCGAAAAUGUACCGGGGCUAAACAUAUUACCGAAGCUGUGGAUUGUCCUUUGGACAAUGGUAGGAGAGCGUUCUAAGGGCGUUGAAGCAUGAUCGUAAGGACAUGUGGAGCGCUUAGAAGUGAGAAUGCCGGUGUGAGUAGCGAAAGACGGGUGAGAAUCCCGUCCACCGAUUGACUAAGGUUUCCAGAGGAAGGCUCGUCCGCUCUGGGUUAGUCGGGUCCUAAGCUGAGGCCGACAGGCGUAGGCGAUGGAUAACAGGUUGAUAUUCCUGUACCACCUAUAAUCGUUUUAAUCGAUGGGGGGACGCAGUAGGAUAGGCGAAGCGUGCGAUUGGAUUGCACGUCUAAGCAGUAAGGCUGAGUAUUAGGCAAAUCCGGUACUCGUUAAGGCUGAGCUGUGAUGGGGAGAAGACAUUGAGUCUUCGAGUCGUUGAUUUCACACUGCCGAGAAAAGCCUCUAGAUAGAAAAUAGGUGCCCGUACCGCAAACCGACACAGGUAGUCAAGAUGAGAAUUCUAAGGUGAGCGAGCGAACUCUCGUUAAGGAACUCGGCAAAAUGACUCCGUAACUUCGGGAGAAGGGGUGCUCUUUAGGGUUAACGCCCAGAAGAGCCGCAGUGAAUAGGCCCAAGCGACUGUUUAUCAAAAACACAGGUCUCUGCUAAACCGUAAGGUGAUGUAUAGGGGCUGACGCCUGCCCGGUGCUGGAAGGUUAAGAGGAGUGGUUAGCUUCUGCGAAGCUACGAAUCGAAGCCCCAGUAAACGGCGGCCGUAACUAUAACGGUCCUAAGGUAGCGAAAUUCCUUGUCGGGUAAGUUCCGACCCGCACGAAAGGCGUAACGAUUUGGGCACUGUCUCAACGAGAGACUCGGUGAAAUCAUAGUACCUGUGAAGAUGCAGGUUACCCGCGACAGGACGGAAAGACCCCGUGGAGCUUUACUGUAGCCUGAUAUUGAAAUUCGGCACAGCUUGUACAGGAUAGGUAGGAGCCUUUGAAACGUGAGCGCUAGCUUACGUGGAGGCGCUGGUGGGAUACUACCCUAGCUGUGUUGGCUUUCUAACCCGCACCACUUAUCGUGGUGGGAGACAGUGUCAAGCGGGCAGUUUGACUGGGGCGGUCGCCUCCUAAAAGGUAACGGAGGCGCUCAAAGGUUCCCUCAGAAUGGUUGGAAAUCAUUCAUAGAGUGUAAAGGCAUAAGGGAGCUUGACUGCGAGACCUACAAGUCGAGCAGGGUCGAAAGACGGACUUAGUGAUCCGGUGGUUCCGCAUGGAAGGGCCAUCGCUCAACGGAUAAAAGCUACCCCGGGGAUAACAGGCUUAUCUCCCCCAAGAGUUCACAUCGACGGGGAGGUUUGGCACCUCGAUGUCGGCUCAUCGCAUCCUGGGGCUGUAGUCGGUCCCAAGGGUUGGGCUGUUCGCCCAUUAAAGCGGUACGCGAGCUGGGUUCAGAACGUCGUGAGACAGUUCGGUCCCUAUCCGUCGUGGGCGUAGGAAAUUUGAGAGGAGCUGUCCUUAGUACGAGAGGACCGGGAUGGACAUACCUCUGGUGUACCAGUUGUCGUGCCAACGGCAUAGCUGGGUAGCUAUGUGUGGACGGGAUAAGUGCUGAAAGCAUCUAAGCAUGAAGCCCCCCUCAAGAUGAGAUUUCCCAACUUCGGUUAUAAGAUCCCUCAAAGAUGAUGAGGUUAAUAGGUUCGAGGUGGAAGCAUGGUGACAUGUGGAGCUGACGAAUACUAAUCGAUCGAAGACUUAAUCAA